rnacentral:piRNA from 1 species
UGAGAAACAGAUUUAAUCA